rnacentral:lncRNA from 1 species
UAUAUAUAUAAUGUAUUUUAAUUAUAUAUAGGCUUUAAUUUAAUUUGGACUAUUAUUGUUUGCCUAUAAAAUAAACCCAACAAGUACAACCGUGCAAUUGAGCCCAACUCUAAAUUUACAUAACACACUCUCUCUUUCAAACUUUCACCGUUGCACAUAACCCUAAAACAUGAUAACAUUCAAAUUCUCAAAUCCCUAAUUUUUUUCCCCUCUCUCUCGCUCUUUCGUUCUCCCUCAGCCCUCACCCAGUCAGGCAGUCACCCUAGCUCACAUUUCUUGCAAUUAUUUUGUAUUUUGAACUAUUGAACGUGUUGCAUCAAAUUAUAGGUAAUGUUGUAUAAAAAUUAAACUAUUGAUUAUAUAAUGUCGAGAAUUUCAAUAGGCUCGUUUAGAGCUCGAGCUCGGCUCGACUCGAAAUUAGGCUCGCUCGAGCUCGGCUCGAAUUAAUUUCAAGCCGAGCUUGAGCCUAGAUUUAGGCUCGAAAUUAAUUUCAAGCCGAAUUUGAGCUGACAUAAGCUCGCUCGAGCUCGGCUCGUUUCCACCCCUACUCAUAUCUCUCUCUAAACUUCAACUCUUUUUCUCUCUAUAAACUAAGCUCUCUCUUCUCUCUUUUUCUAAAAUCUCAACCCUCUCACUUCCCCUAAUUUCGAAUCUAUUUCUCUUCCUAUUCAUUUAAUUAUGCUCUCUCUAAUCUAUGUUCUCUCUCACUUGUUUAAAAAAAGAUGUUGAAUUUUUUGUAGCAUUAUCUAAAAUUAAAUAAAUAAAUUAAUUUAUAUAUUUAAUAUUUUUUGUAAUCUUAAAUAAUAUGACUAAAUAAUAUGACCGUGCGAACUAAACACAGGAAUGCCACAGGAAUGCCACAUUCUUAGUAAUAGGAUGAAUAAGAAUAAGAUUCUUAGACAUCUUUUUGCUCCUACUAAUCUUUCAUAGUGUGAACCAAAUGCACCCUAACAGUAUUUAACUCUCAAAAUAUAUUUAAAAAAAAUUUAGAA